AUUGAACGCUGGCGGCAGGCCUAACACAUGCAAGUCGGACGGUAGCACAGAGAGCUUGCUCUUGGGUGACGAGUGGCGGACGGGUGAGUAAUGUCUGGGGAUCUGCCCGAUAGAGGGGGAUAACCACUGGAAACGGUGGCUAAUACCGCAUAACGUCGCAAGACCAAAGAGGGGGACCUUCGGGCCGUCCACUAUCGGAAGAACGCAGAUGGGAUUAGCUAGUAGGCGGGGUAAUGGCCCACCUAGGCGACGAUCCCUAGCUGGUCUGAGAGGAUGACCAGACACACUGGAACUGAGACACGGUCCAGACUCCUACGGGAGGCGGCAGUGGGGAAUAUUGCACAAUGGGCGCAAGCCUGAUGCAGCCAUGCCGCGUGUAUGAAGAAGGCCUUCGGGUUGUAAAGUACCUUCAGCGGGGAGGAAGGCGAUGUGGUUAAUAACCGCAUUGAUUGACGUUACCCGCAGAAGAAGCACCGGCUAACUCCGUGCCAGCAGCCGCCGUAA
rnacentral:rRNA from 1 species